AGCAUGUGAUGAGUUCCACUUCAGGUCCGUGUUUCUGAACCACAUGAUCUUAAUGGAAGUUCUGAUUUG